rnacentral:rRNA from 1 species
CCUCACACAGGGGGAUAACAGUUAGAAAUGACUGCUAAUACCGCAUAAGCGCACGGUACCGCAUGGUACAGUGUGAAAAACUCCGGUGGUGUGAGAUGGAUCCGCGUCUGAUUAGGUAGUUGGUGAGGUAACGGCCCACCAAGCCGACGAUCAGUAGCCGACCUGAGAGGGUGACCGGCCACAUUGGGACUGAGACACGGCCCAAACUCCUACGGGAGGCAGCAGUGGGGAAUAUUGCACAAUGGGCGAAAGCCUGAUGCAGCAACGCCGCGUGAGUGAAGAAGUAUCUCGGUAUGUAAAGCUCUAUCAGCAGGGAAGAAAAUGACGGUACCUGACUAAGAAGCCCCGGCUAACUACGUGCCAGCAGCCGCGGUAAUACGUAGGGGGCAAGCGUUAUCCGGAUUUACUGGGUGUAAAGGGAGCGCAGACGGCACUGCAAGUCUGAAGUGAAAGCCCGGGGCUCAACCCCGGGACUGCUUUGGAAACUGUAGAGCUAGAGUGCUGGAGAGGCAAGCGGAAUUCCUAGUGUAGCGGUGAAAUGCGUAGAUAUUAGGAAGAACACCAGUGGCGAAGGCGGCUUGCUGGACAGUAACUGACGUUCAGGCUCGAAAGCGUGGGGAGCAAACAGGAUUAGAUACCCUGGUAGUCCACGCCGUAAACGAAGAAUACUAGGUGUUGGUGGGCAAAGCCCAUUUCGG